GGACGCUCAUCACAAUGAACUGGGCUGGGCUGUUGGGCUCACAUCAGUGUCCUGGCAGGUUGACUGGCCCUUCUGGGUCCUGGCUUCUCCAUCUGUCUAAGGAAGGUGUUGAGGGCCAAACAGAACCAGACCUGCCCACAGUUAGUGCUGCCCCCUGGGGUUGGUUUGACAAAUGAAAAGUUUCAUUUGAUUUGAGAGAGUUCAGGACAAGCCAAGGAAAAGACUACCACAGUGCCUUAUCCCCAUUGUGCGGUGACAGAUAUUUCAUCACUUUUGUUAUUGUCACGUCCAGGAGUCACCGAGUAUCAUGUUGCACUCAGACCUCAGAAGACAACGUGAUGGUUCGUCCCUGUCAGCUUGGUUGGCGUCCUAGUUUGCUGUCCUGCGGCUGUGAUAAACACAUGACCAAAGCCCAGGCCCGCUCGCCCAGGAAAGACACUCACUACAGAGGGCUGGGUCCUCUCCUGUCAAUCAUCAGUUGAGAUAAUUCCUCCUGGACACAGCCACAGGCCAAUCUGAUGGGAGCAACGGUUCAAUUAAGGUGGCUCUUCUCCCGGUCGUGUCACCCCGAUGGUGAGAACCAACCAGUAGAACUGAAUUUAGAGUCACCAUGGAAACACACCCUCGAGGUGGCUAUGAGGAG